GACGAACGCUGGCGGCGUGCUUAACACAUGCAAGUCGAACGGAAAGGCCCUGCUUUUGUGGGGUGCUCGAGUGGCGAACGGGUGAGUAACACGUGAGUAACCUGCCCUUGACUUUGGGAUAACUUCAGGAAACUGGGGCUAAUACCGGAUAGGAGCUCCUGCUGCAUGGUGGGGGUUGGAAAGUUUCGGCGGUUGGGGAUGGACUCGCGGCUUAUCAGCUUGUUGGUGGGGUAGUGGCUUACCAAGGCUUUGACGGGUAGCCGGCCUGAGAGGGUGACCGGCGACAAUGGGACUGAGAUACGGCCCAGACUCCAACGGGAGGCAGCAGUGGGGAAUAUUGCACAAUGGGCGGAAGCCUGAUACAGCAACGCCGCGUGCGGGAUGACGGCCUUCGGGUUGUAAACCGCUUUCGCAUGUGACGAAGCGUGAGUGACGGUAAUGGGUAAAGAAGCACCGGCUAACUACGUG
rnacentral:rRNA from 1 species